UGUUCAUUGGAACCCUGCGCAG
rnacentral:miRNA from 1 species